UUCAUUGUAUUUAGACACCCCUUAUCCUCUUCCCACGAGUGGGGAUAGGAAUCUAAGGCCCCUAAUUAGUUUUCGGGGACCCCCCAUGUUACCAUUUUAAUUAUCUCUGUCCUCUGCUUCUCUUUCUUCCUCCCUUAACACAUUCAACGACAGUAUGAUCUUCAAAACAAAAGUCACCGCUAAACUCAUAUACGAAAGAUGUGAAAAGAACCUGUAGUAAAAUACUAACUACUAAGAUGGAUACUUACGGAUAGAAUUAUAGGAAAGGAUCUGAGAAGAAUCAAAAGAUAGAAUCCUGGAUUUUUUUUUUGAUUAAAUUAAGGUGGUAAAUCAAUGGAUAAUACAAAGGAGGGCGAAUUUGAUGAUAUCGAAAAUUGCAAGUCAAUGGGUUGAACUAUAAAAGCUUCAAGUUGAUUAAAUUCAUAAAAUGAGCGGAUAGAUUUUUUUAUAGUUUAAAAUUUUUGAAGAAAAGUCAUAUCAAUACUGGGUGGAGAUUUUGAUAAACUUGGGACAUGUAAUUUGAUUCCCUGUAUUUGAAGAAAACUCUCCAUGGGAUAUUUCCAGGUAAUUCAGUAUAUAUAUAUAUAUUUUUGUCAAUAGCAGUGUCACAAAAAUACAAAGUGACAUCUGGUGAUGGUUUUGUAACAGAAAACCAUUGAAUACACUGAUGGUAGUGCACAACAAUUAGCCGGCAAGGUGCAAACUGAAAACAGUGCCGACCAAUGUUAGGUCGGCAUGGUAGAAACUUCAAAAGCCACCGAUCAAUAAAAAGCCGGUAAAGUAGUUAGUUCAAUAUUGUGCCGACCCUGUAAAUGUUACGUCGACACAAUAUUUAACUUAGGAAGCCAACGAC